rnacentral:snRNA from 1 species
UAGAGAAGAUUAGCAUGGCCCCUGCGCAAGGAUGACACGCACAACUCGAGAUAGCAUGACGCCUGCGU